rnacentral:rRNA from 1 species
AUUGAACGCUGGCGGCAGGCUUAACACAUGCAAGUCGAGCGAGCGGCGGACGGGUGAGUAAUGUCUGGGAAACUGCCUGAUGGAGGGGGAUAACUACUGGAAACGGUAGCUAAUACCGCAUACCAACAGCUGUGCCCAGAUGGGAUUAGCUAGUAGGUGGGGUAAUGGCUCAACUAGGCGAGGAUCCCUAUCGGGUCUGAGAGGAUGACCGGCUACACUGGAACUGAGACACGGUCCAGACUCCUGCGGUAGGCAGCAGUGGGAAAUAUUGCACAAUGGGCGCAAGCCUGAUGCAGCCCUGCCGCGUGUGUGAAGAAGUCCUGCGGGUUGUAAAGCACUGUCAGCGAGGAAGCGUUACUCGCAGAAGAAGCACCGGCUAACUCCGUGCCAGCAGCCGCGGUAAUUC